CCUACGGGGAGCAGCAGUGAGGAAUAUUGGUCAAUGGACGAGAGUCUGAACCAGCCAAGUAGCGUGAAGGAUGACUGCCCUAUGGGUUGUAAACUUCUUUUAUAUGGGAAUAAAAUGUUCCACGUGUGGGAUUUUGUAUGUACCAUAUGACUAAGGAUCGGCUAACUCCGUGCCAGCAGCCGCGGUAAUACGGAGGCUCCGAGCGUUAUCCGGCUUUCUUGGGUUUAAAGGGAGCGUAGGUUGAUUGUUAAGUCAGUUGUGAAAGUUUGCGGCUCAACCGUAAAAUUGCAGUUGAAACUGGCAGUCUUGAGUACAGUAGAGGUGGGCGGAAUUCGUGGUGUAGCGGUGAAAUGCUUAGAUAUCACGAAGAACUCCGAUUGCGAAGGCAGUUCACUGGACUGCAACUGACACUGAGGCUCGAAAGUGUGGGUAUCAAACAGGAUUAGAUACCCUAGUAGUC
rnacentral:rRNA from 1 species